AAUAAAGAUCUAAAGGACAAUCUGAGCUUCCUUUUAGUCCAGACAGACGGAGACGGAAACACCUUAAACUGGAAGACAGUACAAUGCGAGUAUGUACACAUCGGCGAUCACGGACAUUGUGCAUGUGGCUGUUAAUUGUGUUCCUGAGUCUGCACUUGCUCGUGGUUUCACUUGUCCUGUCCAUAUUCCACACUUCCUGUGAGCUCCACUCAUACCCUGGCAUUCAGACCUCCAUCAUCUUUUCCAUUCAAAAUACAUCUACUCCAACAAGCAAAAUGGCCACUGCAGGAAGUGUCACCCAGGAAGUGGAAACAGACGGCACAGCAGAUGACCUUGCCAAACUGGAGGCUCUGUACUCUCACCCGCUGUAUAAUUUGCCCACCCCACCUGUGUCCGAUGGUGAUUGGCUGCUGAAAGUCCGAACAAAAAUAAAAGAGGAAGAGCUUCGUAUACACAGCAGUGGCUGAGUGCUAACGAGGACAGAUAUGAUCCUAUCCUCUGGAAUGCCAGUGCUGAGACACAUCCACCUUGGCUUCAGUUUCACCUUGGUAAAUCUCGCUGGCAGAUGUAUCAGCAGAAAGACCCCAAUCUGUCAGCGCUGACUCAGCAAAUGAUAUCCCAUCGCAUCUUCA